rnacentral:lncRNA from 1 species
UUAUUCUCAGGGAUUUUAGCUGUGCACACACAACAAAAAAUCAUUCCGAGUGUCUGCUAGCAAAAUCCCAGGCUGCCGAACGUCGCGUUUGAAAAUUAAUGUGACAAGCUGGAGGCCUGUUUGCCCCGAGAUCAGAAGACAAUGAAAGCUUCCUCCCCAGGAAGUGUCUCAAGGUAGAAGAAGAGACCCGGAACUGAGGAAGCAAGGGGGCAGGGCCCCACCCGGGGACCCGGACAAGAGUCAGCAGCGAACCUGGCAGCUGCCUUUGUCUUCGCAGUCAGGUCCGGCCUCCUCAGUUACUGAACCUCCACACGGAGGCUAGUGGGACUGCUCAUCAAUCGCCUUAUUCAUCUCAUCAUUAAAAUGAUAGGUCUUGCUAUCUGAGCAGCGCUAGCUGUCUGUAAAUCAGGCACACCUCCUGAUAGAAAGGUCUCCUGGCAGGAACUCGUACAAGGACUUGGGGUUCACGUGAACACCACUGGACUCCAAGAGCUGAGGACCCCAAAGUCCAGGCUCUUACUUCCCAGCUGGCCAUGGAAUUAAUGAAGCUGAGUAGCCCUGGAUGCGAGGCACACUCCGGUCCUUUACAGCUCUUUGUCUGCAGUCAGGCUCUUGUCUUUCAGAGCUAGCUAGCUGCUGCUGUCUCUGGGGCUGGUGCAGCAGUCAGAUAAUGAACAGUAUAUCAGUGCAGUGGAGAGGGGGGGAAGCGGGAGAGGGGUGAGUGAGCGCCUGAGCCAGCCAGCCUGACUUAUUAUUCCUUCACUCUCAAACAAAACAAAAUCAUUGGCCUGCCAGGGUCAUUAAGGACCCCGGGGUUGUCAUAGAAACGACCUUUGGGGCCCGGUGGUUGUUAAUGCAUGAGUGACUGCCUGCAUUGUGUGUUCCCGGAGAGGUCAGAGUCUUGUUGGUGGCUUAAGAAAGAAAGAAAGAAAGAGAGAGAGAGAGAGAGGAAGAAAGAGAGCCAGCAC